rnacentral:rRNA from 1 species
UACGUAGGGUGCAAGCGUUGUCCGGAAUUACUGGGCGUAAAGCGCACGUAGGCGGCUUUCUAAGUCGGGGGUGAAAUCCUGGAGCUCAACUCCAGAACUGCCUUCGAUACUGGAAAGCUCGAGUCCGGGAGAGGUGAGUGGAACUGCGAGUGUAGAGGUGAAAUUCGUAGAUAUUCGCAAGAACACCAGUGGCGAAGGCGGCUCACUGGCCCGGUACUGACGCUGAGGUGCGAAAGCGUGGGGAGCAAACAGG